GACGUAGGUGGCGAACGUUAUCCGGAAUCAUUGGGCGUAAAGGGUGCGUAGAUGGCAUGAUAAGUUAUUAGUGGGAAAUCGAGGCUCAACCUCGUGGAAGCUAGUAAUACUGUUUUGCUUGAGUACAGAAGAGGUUAACGGAACUCCAUGUGGAGCGGUGAAAUGCGUAGAUAUCAGGAAGAACACCGGUGGCGAAAGCGCUCUGCUAGGCCGCAACUGACACUGAGGGACGAAAGCUAGGGGAGCGAAUGGG
rnacentral:rRNA from 1 species